rnacentral:rRNA from 1 species
CCUACGGGAGGCAGCAGUCGAGAAUCAUUCACAAUGGGGGAAACCCUGAUGGUGCGACGCCGCGUGGGGGAAUGAAGGUCUUCGGAUUGUAAACCCCUGUCAUGUGGGAGCAAAUUAAAAAGAUAGUACCACAAAAGGAAGAGACGGCUAACUCUGUGCCAGCAGCCGCGGGAAUACAGAGGUCUCAAGCGUUGUUCGGAAUCACUGGGCGUAAAGCGUGCGUAGGCUGUUUCGUAAGUCGUGUGUGAAAGGCGCGGGCUCAACCCGCGGACGGCACAUGAUACUGCGAGACUAGAGUAAUGGAGGGGGAACCGGAAUGCUCGGUGUAGCAGUGAAAUGCGUAGAUAUCGAGAGGAACACUCGUGGCGAAGGCGGGUUCCUGGACAUUAACUGACGCUGAGGCACGAAGGCCAGGGGAGCGAAAGGGAUUAGAUACCCUUGUAGUC